AAUGUCAAGUGAAUAUUAUACAUGAGUGUUUGUAAUUAUUGAUUUGCUAGGAUUAAAUUGUCCCAUGAAUUUACAGCCAGCUCAGAGCAAGGAAAUGGAAACAUACUUU